CUCCUGAGACUGUACAGCCCCUGGGAGGCAGAAGCCAUCCAGUCCCACACAGAUUGGUUUGAUGUAAAUUUAUCCAAAAUAUUGUUUUGAAGUUUUCUGACUGCACAAGUCAAAUAGGGAGCCAGAUGAUCACAGCCUCAGAAGAUGUGAUUUCUCCAAGGUCACAGAGGAAAUCAGUAAUAACUGGAUCUAGAAUUCUCCUCAUUGGACCAUCCAUGCUGUGGAUGCUACCCUUUUCCAGCUGUGGAUUUAAUUUGCAACUCAUGAGUCAACACAGAGGUUGGCAGUUCGUGUUUGCAGGACUCCAUGUUGACUAUCACCAUGGUGCCAUAAUCUAAGCAACUUUACACACCAGAACUGUUCCCAUGCCAUUGUGACAUCACAGAAUAACCCACGAUUCUGUCUCCUGAUGUUUUGAGCUAAGCCACGAGAGGAAAGGGGGAAAGAAUUGGGAAAAAUGCCCUGCAGAAUUGAAAUUCAAGCAGCAUUUCUUCUCUCCUCCUUUGUGACCUUCUUCAGUGGACUUCUCAUCUUAUCCAUUUUUAGAAUAAGCUGGAGAUUCAUUAGAAAAAGACAAAGCUUCAAGAGAGCAGGAAUUACCCUGGAACUACUUUCAUCAGCUAUCAUUACCCAUAACCCUUUAAGAAGACUUUAUUCUUAUGGAGUAUUUCGCAAUCAAAUAGAAAUGUUGCUUUCUGCACAAACCUUUGUGGGCCAAGUAUUGGUAAGUGCAUUUUCCUUGUUAGUUUGCUAAGGGAUUCUAGCCAUGAACUUGUAGGUACAUGUCAAUGUAGGUACUUUCAUAACCUCAGCAAGCAUUCCAGUUUCCCUGGUGGUCUUAUCUACUUGU
rnacentral:lncRNA from 1 species